AUGCUGAGCCGCAGGUUCGCAGAAUCGGGGCUUUAGUCUCGAAAAGCCUGCUGUGCGUGCAGGGGUUUUCAACGCGCAAGCACACGCGGCGUAUACGCAACACGGCUGUAGAGGUUGUUGCUAAAAAGACGAAAAAUUACGGUUAGUUAAAUGGAAACAAAAAAGAACCGAAGGAAUAUAUAUCCAUAUAGCAACAACGAGAACAGUCACAGCAGCGACGUGGAGCCCACGAACGAUAAAUCUUUAACGUGGAUUUCAUGCAUCGCAGAGUUUUCAGGAACAAAACUGCAGCAGCGUUAAUUUGCCCAAUAAAAUGCAAACAGCCACGAGGAGCAACUAGCAACUAGCGCCGCCAUAAAUAUCAUCAGCCACUGAGAGUCGUGGAGCAAUGAAACGCGUUUUCCGCGGGAAAACAAAGGAAAAACCAAGGGGGAAAAAUCAACAGGGAGAGCACAGCGGGUGGGACGCCGCAUUUAGAGACAGUCAAA